rfam:Hordeum vulgare subsp. vulgare, WGS project CAJW01000000 data, contig: morex_contig_2550320
CAAAUACUCCCUCCGUUCCAANNNNNNUGUCUUAGAUUUGUUUAAAUAUGAAUGUAUCUAGUCAAGUUUUAGUAUUUAGAUACGUCCAUUUCUAGACAAAGUUAAGACAAGAAUUUUGAGACGGAGGGAGAAGACA